UACGAAGGGGGCUAGCGUUGUUCGGAAUUACUGGGCGUAAAGGGCGCGUAGGCGGCCGUUUAAGUCAGAUGUGAAAGCCCCGGGCUCAACCUGGGAACUGCAUUUGAAACUGGCGGGCUUGAGUAUGGCAGAGGGGGGUGGAAUUCCGCGUGUAGCAGUGAAAUGCGUAGAGAUGCGGAGGAACACCGAUGGCGAAGGCAGCCCCCUGGGCCAAUACUGACGCUCAGGCACGAAAGCGUGGGGAGCAAACAGG
rnacentral:rRNA from 1 species